UGCAUAUCAAAAAAGCGGAGGAAAAGAAACCAACAGGGAUUGCCUCAGUAACGGCGAGUGAAGCGGCAACAGCUCAAAUUUGAAAUCUGGCCUCUUGGGGUCCGAGUUGUAAUUUGUAGAGGAUGUUUCGGGUACCGCCUCGGUUUAAAUUUCUUGGAACAGAAUGUCAAAGAGGGUGAGAAUCCCGUCUUGGACCGGCGGUAGGGCCUAUGUGAAACUCCUUCGACGAGUCGAGUUGUUUGGGAAUGCAGCUCAAAAUGGGUGGUAAAUUUCAUCUAAAGCUAAAUAUUGGCCAGAGACCGAUAGCGCACAAGUAGAGUGAUCGAAAGAUGAAAAGCACUUUGAAAAGAGAGUUAAACAGUAUGUGAAAUUGUUGAAAGGGAAGCGCUUGCAACCAGACUUGAGCGCGGCGGUUCCCCCUUGCUUCUGCUUGGGUUACUCCGCCGUGUCCAGGCCAACAUCGGUUCUGGGGGUCGGUCAAAGGCUCUGGGAAUGUAUCUACCCACGGGUAGACUUAUAGACCAGGGUGUCAUGCGACCUCCCGGGACCGAGGAGCGCGCUUCGGCUCGGAUGUUGGCGUAAUGGUUGUCAGCGACCCGUCUUGAACCACGGACCAAAAA
rnacentral:rRNA from 1 species